AACCAGCUGCCGUAGUCAGCUGCACAGUGCAUUAUCGGAUGAGGAAGUGUUUGUUGACAGUUUCUAUUAGCAAUAUUAGCACAAUGACAGAUCGCGGACAUACCUGGAGUUGCGAGGAGGUGCAGGCGGAGCCUCAGAAAUGUGAUGUCUUCACCAUUUUUGGUGCAUUAAAACGUUGUUUUCAAGCCGCAUCCGCGAUUCAUUCUGAAAAUGAACAGUUUGUCUAGUGUGCUGUAUACAAACUAUGUAUAACAACCAGGGAGACAUAAUUACAGCGCGCAGCUGUCUGUCCAUAGUGUAUGCUGUAUUAUCCUUCUUUUUGUUUACUUCCGGGGUUCCGUUGGAAUUUCGCGCACGUUGAUUCUGACCAGUCGAGAAGCAGUUUAGGAAAUACGUUCAAAUACAUGUGGCCAAUGAGUGAUAUUGAUCUUAUCACAUGACAUAAUUUUGGUUCGUUUCAACUGGUGCGGACCAGAGCAAUCAGUGUGGUGUGAAAAGAAACCAAAACUGCCAAAAAGUUACAAUGUAUCAUUUUUUGUUUUUGUUCCGGACCAAAUAUACCGAACUACAGAUGUGAAAACACCCUUAGAGUCAGAGCACAUAAUGAUUCCGGGCCCCCUCUAGUGGUGAAUCUAGGCCUAGAUAUGGACUUUGACCUAUAAUCUUUGCGCUUGUGCACAAUGAAGGGCUGUUGCGUCUGGGUUUUGUAAUUCAUUAAUAAUUUAUUGCGUCCAGAAUGUGGAAAACUCAUCAUAUUUUGCCCAUGAAACAAAGUAACAGAUGCCCCCUCAGUUUCAAUGGGCAUUAUGGUUUCAACGGUCUGCAGUAAGUGCAUGCGCUCAAAACGUGAUGGAUAAUUGUAUCAGCCACAGUUCAACCUUUAUGAUUGCUCGAAAAGAUUAAAGCCGAUAUAUUGCGACUGAGGCAGGAUUAGCUGCCCGCCGCUCCGGGUGUGUGUUUACUACUCAUUGAGAUGAGUUAAAUGGUCACAUUUCAAGUUUAACUUCACCAUCCCAUCCAGAAGACAAGAACCAUAAAGCAGAUUCUCUCUACCGUUUAUACUCACCUGAAGAGAGAAACCAUAGGCUCACUACCUGAAUGUCUCUUUGUCAAUCCAUCAGUGUCCAGCAUUGGUUCCAGAAGAGUGAGAGAGGAUCUGGGACUCAUCCCAUCAUCACCUGCAGAGGGCGAUAAGACGACAAAGAUGAACCGCUGAUGCUCAUUUUUCAGGGACACCUCGUGGGACAAUAGAACCUGGUGAGGAAGAAGUGUCCCCCUGGAAUAAACUGGAGGAGUCUACACUGUUCGAAGAUCCUGGAUUAGAUGUCGAGGUGGUCGUCUCUAAAAUAUCUAGUGGACUGGGAAGGUUUCGGGACCGAGGAACGAUCCUGGGUUCCACAAGAUGAUAUCCUUGACCCUGAUCUACCAACUUCC